GAGAAGUCUUGGUGGCAUUAUGUGAAGUCCCCUGCGGAUGGUGAUAAAGACAGUCGCAGAUACCAGCGGGCUGCAUUUGUUUAUUAAAAACAGAGUUUUGUGCAAACACGAAAGUGGACGUAUACGGUGUGACGCCUGCCAGGUGUUGGAAGGUUAAUUGAUGGGGUUAUCCGUAAGGAGAAGCUCUUGAUCGAAGCCCCAGUAAACGGCGGCCGUAACUAUAACGGUCCUAAGGUAGCGAAAUUCCUUGUCGGGUAAGUUCCGACCUGCACGAAUGGCGUAAUGAUGGCCAGGCUGUCUCCACCCGAGACUC
rnacentral:ncRNA from 1 species